UAGUCUUUAUAGUCAUUGUACAUGUACAACAAAAUUGAAUGCAGUCCUUUCAGUAAAAUAAUAAAUACA